rnacentral:lncRNA from 1 species
AAUUGUUGUGCCCAAAACGAAAAAUCAAACCAUACACUCUUACACACAUAGACACAGAUGUUUACAGGCAAGUGGCAAUAGUUUCACUAUAGAGAAAGAAAUUACAUAUUACAAAUGUUUUUCCUCUCUCUCCCUCUCAAUCUCUCUGUUUCUCUCACUCUUCCACACUCAUCUUCAACCUAUAAUGAGGUAUUUAUAAGCUGAGCAUUACACAAAUUCUGAGAGACAAUUAACAGCAGAAAUGGAAGGUCUGUCUUGGAAGCUCAAAAGGCUCCAUUAGGAGCAAGUUUGCAUUGGAAAUAUGGUCAAACCAUUGCAACUACAAGCUUGAAGUUAGCCAAAACUCAACAGGAAAGAGACAGGGGAGUUGGUUGUAGUUGAAACUCGUACAACUCCGAGACAUCGACCAUAUUGCAAAAAGGAUUAUAGGUGUUUUGCGUUUGAUCAACUUUUGUAUAUCUUUAUUGUGGGGUGUAGUGUUUAAGGAAUAAAAUAAAGGAAAUUGAUGAUAGACAUCCACGGAGGUCCGAUGGUGGCUGAAGGUGGAUAUUAAUGAUCGUUGAUGGCCUAGCUGCAACACAGAAACAAUGAGUUUGGCCUCCAGAGCUAUUUCUAGAAAACAAUUCUCUGAUUGUCAAGUUAGAUAACUAGAGAAUCAAUGUAUGUAGAAAGAGAGUGUGUGAGCUUCUCAGAGCUAAAUUCACAUACCUUAGAAAGAAUAAGGGUUGGCCUUAUAUAACUCAAUUCGACGCGUCCUUAGACGUGCCAACUAUCACAUCACUGAAUAGUCUAUAGCUCGGGGCGUACCUAAACGUGCUAACUACUAUGUCAGUGAGUAGACGGUUAACCCAACUAUGCCUCUAGGGCCUAGUUGGUAGCAUUCUAUCAUGUCGUCAACGUCUCAAUCCAUUCGCAGGGGUUGUCAGAGGAAAUAUUGUCAUAUAAGUUACCUUUUAUUCCCUGUCGUGCCUCGAGGUCGCCAUCAUCCAUUGUCCCUCGGCCAAGCUUUGUCGAGCUUGCUAUAGAACGACAGCUCAAAAGUGAUGUUGGCCUUAGCUCAGACAGUGACAGUGCUAAGUAAUGUCUUGACCGAGCUCCGGCGUAAGGUAUCACACCCCACUCCGCUAGUACACGUGUCUAGGGUAAUCUAACACAUCACAACAUGUUUACUAUUUAGCAUAUACACCUGUCAAAUAAAAACAUAAGCUAUUGCAUGCUAUAAUAUCAUUAAAUCAAUACACCAUUGGCAUUUCCACAUGAAAUCUUUUCAUACUACAACUAUACUUUAAAGUACAGUACAUGCAAUCCUCCACAACUAAACAAAUUUACUUCUUUGAAACCAUAACCAAAAUCAAGUUCAGUAUAUAAUUCCAAAAUGUAAAACUAUAUAUACACAACUCUCAAAUACGAAAACAACUACCCUAUUAACAUCCUGUAUGAUAUUGUAGUGGACUGACCUCUAUCUCUAGCAAAAGUCUGCAACCAAAAAGGUAGCAGGAGAGUGUUAGAUAAAAUCAUAAUAGAAAGAAAAUUUGGUACACAAUUUCAGAUGGAUCAAAUCAUUUAAAAUAACCAGCUUUCUUAAAGAAGGUAUAUAAAAUAAUAACUAUCAACUUUUCUACAACCAUUCAAAUCCCAUAUUUGUAAAUAAUUUCUUCAAAUAUGAAAUUAAAUCUUAUCCAAGCAAUAACAAUAAUUUCUCUACAAUAAUCUUCUUUUACAUAAAUAAAUAACUUAUACUUUUACCAAAUGUGUCAAAAGGGUCGUUUAAAACUCACGAUUCGGGAGUUAUGACGGUACCGUUACCUCAGUCACGACAUAUAGUGAUUGUGAGGAGGGACAUUCUUUGUCACCAAUGGUAGGUGCUAGCAAGUUAGAUUAGUAAACAAUCAUAAUGGUAAGCAACAACUAGUUUAUCAGGCAAACAACAACCAGUUUGCCAUAGUUAGCGUAAGUACAACAACCAAGCUUACCAGGUAAGCACACAACCAAGCUUACCAACAAAGGCACAAGAGGCAUAAAAAUAACAUUAAGUAACCAUAUAUUAAUCAUCAAAUUAAAAUCAUAUCAAAAAAUUCUACGAAUAAGUAUUAUACCACUUGGAUACUAUUUUCAAAUAAAACUGAAAAGAAUUCAAAGUAUUAUGAAACUAUACACUCUCACCUAUACACAAGUCAAUCUUCUAUUUUGGCAGCAUACUAGACAUGCGAUUCUCGAUACCCUCACCUAAAAUAUGAAUUAUGCAACGUCUAAUCAGAUAUUAUUUCCUCCUAUAACAAACAUGCAAUGAAAUGCAAUAAUAUGUAAUAUGUAACUCUGACCAUGCUACAAUUCCGUAUUUUUAUGAGUAUAGAAAUAUUUUUUAUAAAUCAUAAAAUUUUAUACCCAGAAAGUAUAUAUAUAAAUGUACAACAUAUUAAAAUUUCAGAAUUUUUGAAUAUCAUUAACUAUUUUUAAAAUUCAAAAAUCAAAAGGAUAAAUUAUGCUCUGAAAAUCAAUG